rnacentral:lncRNA from 1 species
AUGGCCUGGGGUCCAGGCAUACUAGACUAGCCUUGCCCUGAUAUAGUCGCUGUGCCCAAGAGAAAGAAGUGACUCGUUUUCCAGGCCCACAAUUCCUGCUGUGGCUGAGUGACCAUGGAGAAUUAUGCCAAUUAUGAUGCAGCUGUCAUGAAGUCUGGAUGGGUCUAGAAAGCCAUUGCCCAUGCUGUUUAGCAGGAAGAAGUCUCUCUGUGGCUUGGAAGUCUCCCAGGUUCCAGCAGAGGAGCUUUCUGGGCUGAAAAGCCUUUGACACCAGCAAUGACAUGCCCAGGAGGAGAGUAUCCAUGAGAGGACCAUUUCCAGAAAAAAAAAAAAAAAAGCAAGAAGCACAAAGAACACCCAGAUGGGGCUGGAGAUUGAGAGUACCUGCUGGAUGUCUGGCUGAGCUGGUCUCCUUCAGUUGCCUGAGGAGAUAGUGCAUGCCCCUGAUUUGGAGGAAUGCCUGGUCUGUCACUGGCACUGAUACACUUUGGACCAGGUUGUAUGGAAGGCACUAUAUGCCAGAUGCCUGUCUG